ACACCCACCUCACUCCCAUCAUGGUUGAGGAUCUCAAGAUGGCCGGAAUGACACUCUUAUAGGCCUUAUAGGUGGCGUUUUACAUAUAAACAUUACUCAAUGGACUACGAAGGAGACUUCACAAUGAAUAGCGAAUCUCAAGACAGUGUAUAUUUAAAUUGGACCUCAUUGGAAAUGGGCUGGACUCCGACCUAAUGGGCGUUCCUGAUGCGCAUUACGUGAUGUAGACAAAGAAGCCCCAACUAUCAGGAAAGAAUGUCCGGACUGAAAGGGCAACAGAACUUACCAAUUAUUCAUAUAUAGCCAAACAUUGUGUCACUGAUCAAGCUUCUUGCAAAAAUUCUGGAUAUGAAAUUAAUUCAAAUACAAUGUAAAUUUUAUUUUUAAAUGUUUUCCUCUGCAAUAAUCUCAAAAAUAAUGUUAGCAAUUUAGUAAUUCUUGUAGGCUUUAUGUUUAUUAAUAUUGUAUUAUUUAAGGAUUAAAAUCAGAUUUAUUGAUUUUUGCCGGAUGUGCAUGAUAUAGGCUUACAGUAUAUAAAUAUAAUAUAUAUAUAUGUAUAUAUAUAUAUAUCACAACUUGAUUUCAAUAGGCCUACUUGAAAAUAAAUAUCAAAUGGAAUUGUG